GAUGAACGCUAGCGGCAGGCUUAACACAUGCAAGUCGAGGGGUAGAGGCUUUCGGGCCUUGAGACCGGCGCACGGGUGCGUAACGCGUAUGCAAUCUGCCUUUCACAGAGGGAUAGCCCAGAGAAAUUUGGAUUAAUACCUCAUAGCAUUGGAGAAGGGCAUCCUUUUCCAAUUAAAGUCACAACGGUGAAAGAUGAGCAUGCGUCCCAUUAGCUAGUUGGUAAGGUAACGGCUUACCAAGGCUACGAUGGGUAGGGGUCCUGAGAGGGCGAUCCCCCACACUGGUACUGAGACACGGACCAGACUCCUACGGGAGGCAGCAGUGAGGAAUAUUGGUCAAUGGGCGCAAGCCUGAACCAGCCAUGCCGCGUGCAGGAUGACGGUCCUAUGGAUUGUAAACUGCUUUUGUACGGGAAGAAACACUGAUUCGUGAAUCAGCUUGACGGUACCGUAAGAAUAAGGAUCGGCUAACUCCGUGCCAGCCGCCGCAGUAA
rnacentral:rRNA from 1 species